UAGAAUAAUGUCGCAUGCCGUCGUAUAAAAUUGGGGAUAUGGCCCAAUAGUUUCUACCAAGCCGCCGUAAAGGGCUUGACUACGAGGUAAGUGUAAAUGGAA
rnacentral:ncRNA from 2 species